rnacentral:rRNA from 1 species
AACGAACGCUGGCGGUAUGCCUAACACAUGCAAGUCGAACGAGACCUUCGGGUCUAGUGGCGCACGGGUGCGUAACGCGUGGGAACCUGCCCUUAGGUUCGGAAUAACUCCCCGAAAGGGGUGCUAAUACCGGAUAAUGUCUUCGGACCAAAGAUUUAUCGCCUUUGGAUGGGCCCGCGUUGGAUUAGCUAGUUGGUAGUGUAAAAGCCUACCAAGGCGACGAUCCAUAGCUGGUCUGAGAGGAUGAUCAGCCACACUGGGACUGAGACACGGCCCAGACUCCGACGGGAGGCAGCAGUGGGGAAUAGUGGACAAUGGGCGAAAGCCUGAUCCAGCAAUGCCGCGUGAGUGAUGAAGGCCUUAGGGUUGUAAAGCUCUUUUACCCGGGAUGAUAAUGACAGUACCGGGAGAAUAAGCUCCGGCUAACUCCGUG